UACGGAGGGGACUAGCGUUGUUCGGAAUUACUGGGCGUAAAGCGCACGUAGGCGGAUUGUUAAGUCAGGGGUGAAAUCCCGAGGCUCAACCUCGGAACUGCCUUUGAUACUGGCAAUCUCGAGUCCGGAAGAGGUGAGUGGGAAUUCCUAGUGUAGAGGUGAAAUUCGUAGAUAUUAGGAAGAACACCAGUGGCGAAGGCGGCUCACUGGUCCGGUACUGACGCUGAGGUGCGAAAGCGUGGGGAGCAAACAGG
rnacentral:rRNA from 1 species